UUGCACUCCGCUUGAAAGGCUUCCAAAAGAAUGACAAAUGGUGCAGUCUUGGAGCAAGUGUGCAAAAAUGAAAUGUUAAAUCGAGCUCGGCGGCGGCCAGACGACCGUUGAGAUGGAUCAACAGAUGAGUGCCGCCGUGUCCACCGCGCUUGUCUACUAAGAGCAUCCACAAUA